rnacentral:rRNA from 1 species
GCCAGACUCCUACGGGAGGCAGCAGUGGGGAAUAUUGCACAAUGGGGGGAACCCUGAUGCAGCGACGCCGCGUGGGUGAAGGAGCACCUCGGUGCGUAAAGCCCUAUCGGCAGGGAAGAAAAGCGAACAGGUUCGCCUGGACGGUACCUGACUAAGAAGCCCCGGCUAACUACGUGCCAGCAGCCGCGGGAAUACGUAGGGGGCAAGCGUUAUCCGGAUUCACUGGGUGUAAAGGGAGCGCAGGCGGCAUGGCAAGUCUGAUGUGAAAACCCGGGGCCCAACCCCGGGAGUGCAUUGGAAACUGCCAGGCUGGAGUGUCGGAGGGGUAAGCGGAAUUCCUAGUGUAGCGGUGAAAUGCGUAGAUAUUAGGAGGAACACCAGUGGCGAAGGCGGCUUACUGGACGACUACUGACGCUGAGGCUCGAAAGCGUGGGGAGCAAACAGGAUUAGAUACCCGAGUA